rnacentral:rRNA from 1 species
GCCCUGGCAGUCAGAGGCGAUGAAGGGCGUGCUAAUCUGCGAUAAGCGCCGGUAAGGUGAUAUGAACCGUUAUAACCGGCGAUACCCGAAUGGGGAAACCCAGUGUGACUCGUCACACUAUCAUUAACUGAAUCCAUAGGUUAAUGAGGCGAACCGGGGGAACUGAAACAUCUAAGUACCCCGAGGAAAAGAAAUCAACCGAGAUUCCCCCAGUAGCGGCGAGCGAACGGGGAGGAGCCCAGAGCCUGAAUCAGCAUGUGUGUUAGUGGAAGCGUCUGGAAAGGCGCGCGAUACAGGGUGACAGCCCCGUACACAAAAGCGCAUGUGCUGUGAGCUCGAUGAGUAGGGCGGGACACGUGGUAUCCUGUCUGAAUAUGGGGGGACCAUCCUCCAAGGCUAAAUACUCCUGACUGACCGAUAGUGAACCAGUACCGUGAGGGAAAGGCGAAAAGAACCCCGGCGAGGGGAGUGAAAAAGAACCUGAAACCGUGUACGUACAAGCAGUGGGAGCACCCUUUGGG